rnacentral:rRNA from 1 species
GGCACUUCACACCCACCUAGAGGAGCCUGUUCUAGAACCGAUGACCCCCGUUCAACCUCACCUUUUCUUGCUUUCCCCGCCUAUAUACCACCGUCGUCAGCUCACCCUGUGAAGGGCCCCUAGUGAGCAAGGCUGGCACAGCCUAAAACGUCAGGUCGAGGUGUAGCGCAUGAAGAGGGAAGAAAUGGGCUACAAUUGCUUCAACAGCUAAUACGAAUUGUAUCGCUGAAAAUGCACACAUGAAGGAGGAUUUAGAAGUAAGGAAGGAAGCAGAGCGUCCCCCUGAAAUGGUUCUGAAGCGUGCACACACCGCCCGUCACUCUCCCCAAGUUGAGUAUGCCCAAAAAUAAAUAAACACAAAACACCUACAAAGGGGAGGCAAGUCGUAACAUGGUAAGUGUACCGGAAGGUGCACUUGGAAAAAU